GCCAGUGUGGCGAAAUUGGUAGACGCAGCGGAUUCAAAAUCCGCCGGUGGCAACACUGUGCCGGUUCGAGUCCGGCCACUGGUA
rnacentral:tRNA from 1 species